CAAACGACUCUCGGCAACGGAUAUCUUGGCUCACGCAUCGAUGAAGAACGCAGCAAAAUGCGAUACUUGGUGUGAAUUGCAGAAUCCCGUGAACCAUCGAGUUUUUGAACGCAAGUUGCGCCCAAAGCCUUUUGGCCGAGGGCACGUCUGCCUGGGCGUCACAUA
rnacentral:rRNA from 1 species